AACGGGGAAAAUGGAAAAAAUGGAAAAAAUGGAAAAAAAGAGAAAGAAAGAGAAAAAAAAGACGCUAUGGUUUAAAGAAUCCCUCUUACAUCUACAGAGAUUUCAGACGGUCCUUCUUUCUUUUCGAGUUUCU
rnacentral:ribozyme from 1 species